rnacentral:rRNA from 1 species
UACAGAGGUCUCAAGCGUUGUUCGGAUUCAUUGGGCGUAAAGGGUGCGUAGGCGGCGCGGUAAGUCGGGUGUGAAAUCUCGGAGCUUAACUCCGAAACUGCAUUCGAUACUGCCGUGCUUGAGGACUGGAGAGGAGACUGGAAUUUACGGUGUAGCGGUGAAAUGCGUAGAUAUCGUAAGGAAGACCAGUGGCGAAGGCGGGUCUCUGAACAGUUCCUGACGCUGAGGCAACGAAGGCCAGGGGAGCAAACGGG